rnacentral:rRNA from 1 species
ACUUUCAACAACGGAUCUCUUGGCUCUUGCAUCGAUGAAGAACGCAGCGAAAUGCGAUAAGUAAUGUGAAUUGCAGAAUCCAGUGAAUCAUCGAAUCUUUGAACGCACCUUGCGCCCUUUGGUAUUCCGAGGGGCAUGCCUGUUUGAGAGUCAUUAA